GUGGGGAAUAUUGGACAAUGGGCGAAAGCCUGAUCCAGCCAUGCCGCGUGUGUGAAGAAGGUCUUCGGAUUGUAAAGCACUUUAAGUUGGGAGGAAGGGCAGUAAGUUAAUACCUUGCUGUUUUGACGUUACCGACAGAAUAAGCACCGGCUAACUUCGUGCCAGCAGCCGCGGUAAUACGAAGGGUGCAAGCGUUAAUCGGAAUUACUGGGCGUAAAGCGCGCGUAGGUGGUUUUGUAAGUUGGUGUUGAAAUCCCCGGGCUCAACAUGGGAACUGCCUCCUAAACUGCAUGACUACAGUACGGUAGAGGGUAGUGGAAUUUCCUGUGUAGCGGUGAAAUGCGUAGAUAUAGGAAGGAACCCCAGUGGCGAAGACGACUACCUGGACUGAUGCUGCCACUUAGGUGCGAAAGCGUGGUGAGCAAACAGGAUUAGAAACCCCGGUAGUCC
rnacentral:rRNA from 1 species